AACGAACGCUGGCGGCAGGCCUAACACAUGCAAGUCGAGCGAGCAUUUCGGUGCUAGCGGCGGACGGGUGAGUAACGCGUGGGAACGUUCCCUUUUCUGCGGAAUAGUCCUGGGAAACUGGGGGUAAUACCGCAUACGCCCUUUUGGGGAAAGAUUUAUCGGAGAAGGAUCGGCCCGCGUUGGAUUAGGUAGUUGGUGGGGUAAUGGCCCACCAAGCCGACGAUCCAUAGCUGGUUUGAGAGGAUGAUCAGCCACACUGGGACUGAGACACGGCCCAGACUCCUACGGGAGGCAGCAGUGGGGAAUCUUAGACAAUGGGGGCAACCCUGAUCUAGCCAUGCCGCGUGAGUGAUGAAGGCCUUAGGGUUGUAAAGCUCUUUCAGCUGGGAAGAUAAUGACGGUACCAGCAGAAGAAGCCCCGGCUAACUCCGUG
rnacentral:rRNA from 1 species